rnacentral:rRNA from 1 species
GGGUUGUGAGGUUAAGCGACUAAGCGUACACGGUGGAUGCCCUGGCAGUCAGAGGCGAUGAAGGACGUGCUAAUCUGCGAUAAGCGUCGGUAAGGUGAUAUGAACCGUUAUAACCGGCGAUUUCCGAAUGGGGAAACCCAGUGUGUUUCGACACACUAUCAUUAACUGAAUCCAUAGGUUAAUGAGGCGAACCGGGGGAACUGAAACAUCUAAGUACCCCGAGGAAAAGAAAUCAACCGAGAUUCCCCCAGUAGCGGCGAGCGAACGGGGAGGAGCCCAGAGCCUGAAUCAGUGUGUGUGUUAGUGGAAGCGUCUGGAAAGGCGCGCGAUACAGGGUGACAGCCCCGUACACAAAAAUGCACAUGCUGUGAGCUCGAUGAGUAGGGCGGGACACGUGGUAUCCUGUCUGAAUAUGGGGGGACCAUCCUCCAAGGCUAAAUACUCCUGACUGACCGAUAGUGAACCAGUACCGUGAGGGAAAGGCGAAAAGAACCCCGGCGAGGGGAGUGAAAAAGAACCUGAAACCGUGUACGUACAAGCAGUGGGAGCACGCUUAGGCGUGUGACUGCGUACCUUUUGUAUAAUGGGUCAGCGACUUAUAUUCUGUAGCAAGGUUAACCGAAUAGGGGAGCCGAAGGGAAACCGAGUCUUAACUGGGCGUUAAGUUGCAGGGUAUAGACCCGAAACCCGGUGAUCUAGCCAUGGGCAGGUUGAAGGUUGGGUAACACUAACUGGAGGACCGAACCGACUAAUGUUGAAAAAUUAGCGGAUGACUUGUGGCUGGGGGUGAAAGGCCAAUCAAACCGGGAGAUAGCUGGUUCUCCCCGAAAGCUAUUUAGGUAGCGCCUCGUGAAUUCAUCUCCGGGGGUAGAGCACUGUUUCGGCAAGGGGGUCAUCCCGACUUACCAACCCGAUGCAAACUGCGAAUACCGGAGAAUGUUAUCACGGGAGACACACGGCGGGUGCUAACGUCCGUCGUGAAGAGGGAAACAACCCAGACCGCCAGCUAAGGUCCCAAAGUCAUGGUUAAGUGGGAAACGAUGUGGGAAGGCCCAGACAGCCAGGAUGUUGGCUUAGAAGCAGCCAUCAUUUAAAGAAAGCGUAAUAGCUCACUGGUCGAGUCGGCCUGCGCGGAAGAUGUAACGGGGCUAAACCAUGCACCGAAGCUGCGGCAGCGACGCUUAUGCGUUGUUGGGUAGGGGAGCGUUCUGUAAGCCUGUGAAGGUGUGCUGUGAGGCAUGCUGGAGGUAUCAGAAGUGCGAAUGCUGACAUAAGUAACGAUAAAGCGGGUGAAAAGCCCGCUCGCCGGAAGACCAAGGGUUCCUGUCCAACGUUAAUCGGGGCAGGGUGAGUCGACCCCUAAGGCGAGGCCGAAAGGCGUAGUCGAUGGGAAACAGGUUAAUAUUCCUGUACUUGGUGUUACUGCGAAGGGGGGACGGAGAAGGCUAUGUUGGCCGGGCGACGGUUGUCCCGGUUUAAGCGUGUAGGCUGGUUUUCCAGGCAAAUCCGGAAAAUCAAGGCUGAGGCGUGAUGACGAGGCACUACGGUGCUGAAGCAACAAAUGCCCUGCUUCCAGGAAAAGCCUCUAAGCAUCAGGUAACAUCAAAUCGUACCCCAAACCGACACAGGUGGUCAGGUAGAGAAUACCAAGGCGCUUGAGAGAACUCGGGUGAAGGAACUAGGCAAAAUGGUGCCGUAACUUCGGGAGAAGGCACGCUGAUAUGUAGGUGAAGUCCCUCGCGGAUGGAGCUGAAAUCAGUCGAAGAUACCAGCUGGCUGCAACUGUUUAUUAAAAACACAGCACUGUGCAAACACGAAAGUGGACGUAUACGGUGUGACGCCUGCCCGGUGCCGGAAGGUUAAUUGAUGGGGUCAGCGCAAGCGAAGCUCUUGAUCGAAGCCCCGGUAAACGGCGGCCGUAACUAUAACGGUCCUAAGGUAGCGAAAUUCCUUGUCGGGUAAGUUCCGACCUGCACGAAUGGCGUAAUGAUGGCCAGGCUGUCUCCACCCGAGACUCAGUGAAAUUGAACUCGCUGUGAAGAUGCAGUGUACCCGCGGCAAGACGGAAAGACCCCGUGAACCUUUACUAUAGCUUGACACUGAACAUUGAGCCUUGAUGUGUAGGAUAGGUGGGAGGCUUUGAAGUGUGGACGCCAGUCUGCAUGGAGCCGACCUUGAAAUACCACCCUUUAAUGUUUGAUGUUCUAACGUUGACCCGUAAUCCGGGUUGCGGACAGUGUCUGGUGGGUAGUUUGACUGGGGCGGUCUCCUCCUAAAGAGUAACGGAGGAGCACGAAGGUUGGCUAAUCCUGGUCGGACAUCAGGAGGUUAGUGCAAUGGCAUAAGCCAGCUUGACUGCGAGCGUGACGGCGCGAGCAGGUGCGAAAGCAGGUCAUAGUGAUCCGGUGGUUCUGAAUGGAAGGGCCAUCGCUCAACGGAUAAAAGGUACUCCGGGGAUAACAGGCUGAUACCGCCCAAGAGUUCAUAUCGACGGCGGUGUUUGGCACCUCGAUGUCGGCUCAUCACAUCCUGGGGCUGAAGUAGGUCCCAAGGGUAUGGCUGUUCGCCAUUUAAAGUGGUACGCGAGCUGGGUUUAGAACGUCGUGAGACAGUUCGGUCCCUAUCUGCCGUGGGCGCUGGAGAACUGAGGGGGGCUGCUCCUAGUACGAGAGGACCGGAGUGGACGCAUCACUGGUGUUCGGGUUGUCAUGCCAAUGGCACUGCCCGGUAGCUAAAUGCGGAAGAGAUAAGUGCUGAAAGCAUCUAAGCACGAAACUUGCCCCGAGAUGAGUUCUCCCUGACUCCUUGAGAGUCCUGAAGGAACGUUGAAGACGACGACGUUGAUAGGCCGGGUGUGUAAGCGCAGCGAUGCGUUGAGCUAACCGGUACUAAUGAACCGUGAGGCUUAACCUUACAACGCCGAAGGUGUUU